AACCUCAGAAAACGAAAAAUGAUGGGCAAACAGAAGAAACAUUGAUUUGGAGAGUGGCUUAUUCAAAGUCAAAAGAAGGACAAGGGGUCAUCAAACCAGUGAAAGUUGAGAGCACUUAUGGAUAUGUUAAGGACUUGAUGAAAGAAGUUUUGUACUGCAGACGGAUUAAUCUAACACUCUCCAAAGCUCUUGAUGUCGCUGGAGUGAAAGAAAUACCUGUCCCAUUGACUCACCACAAAUCAAAAAUCAGCAAAGCUGAAGCCAUUAAGCAACAUAAAUCUCGCUUUAAUAAAUAAAAAGAAAUAACGUCCCACAUGAAAUAAACAUAAUUACAAAUGAA